rnacentral:rRNA from 1 species
GACGAACGCUGGCGGCGUGCCUAACACAUGCAAGUGGAGCGACGAACCGGGGCUUGCCCCGGGGCAGAGCCGCGACCGGGUGAGUAACACGUGGGUGACCUGCCCCGAUGACUGGGACACCCCGUCGAAAGACGGGCUAAUACCGGAUGUGCCCCUUGGGGGCCAGGAAGCUUCGGCCUCCGCAUCGGGAUGGGCCCGCGGCGCAUUAGCUUGUUGGUGGGGUAAUGGCUCACUAAGGCGACGAUGCGUAGCUGGCCUGGGUGGACGGUCGGCCACACUGGGACUGGGGCGCGGCCCAGGCGCGUGCGGGGCGCAGCAGGGGGGAAUCUUGCACAAUGCUCGAAGGCGUGAUGCAGCAUCGCCGCGUGCAGGAGGAAGGCCUUAUGGUUGUGAACGGCAUUCAGUAGGGACGAAGAGUCGUGCGGGAAUAGCGGUUAGGAGUGACGGUACCUUCAGAAGAAGCGCCGGCUAACUACGUG